UAGGUAGAAGCCUGCUGGUUGGGGCACCUAGCUGUUAACUAGGGCAUUAUGGGAUCGAGGCCCAUCUAUCUAG
rnacentral:tRNA from 2 species